rnacentral:rRNA from 1 species
UACGUAGGGUGCGAGCGUUGUCCGGAAUUAUUGGGCGUAAAGGGCUCGUAGGCGGUCUGUUGCGUCAGGAGUGAAAACUCGGGGGCUUAACCCCCGAGCCUGCUUCUGAUACGGGCAGACUAGAGGUAUGCAGGGGAGAACGGAAUUCCUGGUGUAGCGGUGAAAUGCGCAGAUAUCAGGAGGAACACCGAUGGCGAAGGCAGGUCUCUGGGCCACUACUGACGCUGAGAAGCGAAAGCAUGGGGAGCGAACAGG